GGGGCUAUAGCACAGCUGGCUAGCGCGCUACGUUCGCAUCGUAGAGGUCAGGGGUUCGAAUCCCCUUAGCUCCACCA
rnacentral:tRNA from 1 species